UGGGGAAUAUUGCACAAUGGGCGCAAGCCUGAUGCAGCCAUGCCGCGUGUAUGAAGAAGGCCUUCGGGUUGUAAAGUACUUUCAGCGGGGAGGAAGGGAGUAAAGUUAAUACCUUUGCUCAUUGACGUUACCCGCAGAAGAAGCACCGGCUAACUCCGUGCCAGCAGCCGCGGUAAUACGGAGGGUGCAAGCGUUGUCCGGAUUUACUGGGUGUAAAGGGCGUGCAGCCGGGCGCUUAAGUCAGAUGUGAAAUCCGCGGGCUUAACCCGCGAACUGCAUUUGAAACUGAGCGUCUUGAGUAUCGGAGAGGUCAUCGGAAUUCCCUUGUGUAGCGGUGAAAUGCGUAGAUAUAAGGAAGAACACCAGUGGCGAAGGCGGAUGACUGGACGACAACUGACGGUGAGGCGCGAAAGCGUGGGGGAGCAAACAGGAUUAGAUACCC
rnacentral:rRNA from 1 species